UAGGGAAUAUUGGACAAUGGGGGCAACCCUGAUCCAGCCAUGCCGCGUGAGUGAAGAAGGCCCUCGGGUUGUAAAGCUCUUUUGUCCGGAAAGAAAAGCAUUCGGUGAAUACCCGGAUGUUCUGACGGUACCGGAAGAAUAAGCACCGGCUAACUUCGUGCCAGCAGCCGCGGUAAUACGAAGGGUGCAAGCGUUACUCGGAAUUACUGGGCGUAAAGCGUGCGUAGGUGGUUGUUUAAGUCUGAUGUGAAAGCCCUGGGCUCAACCUGGGAAUGGCAUUGGAAACUGGCGGACUGGAGUGCGGUAGAGGGUAGCGGAAUUCCCGGUGUAGCAGUGAAAUGCGUAGAGAUCGGGAGGAACAUCCGUGGCGAAGGCGGCUACCUGGACCAGCACUGACACUGAGGCACGAAAGCGUGGGGAGCAAACA
rnacentral:rRNA from 1 species